AGCUCCGGGGUGUUACAUGUUAGAUUGCAAAUCUAAAGAGGCAGGCUAAUCCCUGCCGGGGCUU
rnacentral:tRNA from 1 species